AACUCUGAGCGGUGGAUCACUCGGCUCGUGCGUCGAUGAAGAGCGCAGCCAACUGCGUGAAUUAGUGUGAAUUGCAGGAUAUCUUGAACAUCGACAUCUUGAACGCAUAUUGCGCGCCUCAGGUCUCCCCUGUGGCCACGCCUGGCCGAGGGUCG
rnacentral:rRNA from 1 species